rnacentral:sRNA from 1 species
CUAAGUAUUAUAAUUUUAUCGAAGGAUGGUCACAUUAGUAAGCGUGGCGAAACAUGGAAAAUAUAUAAAAAGCACAUGGCUUAAACUAAAAAUAAAUAUGUAUAUCGUUUUAAAAGCUUAUUAAAUGGUGUAAGAAGUAAAAAAUUAUUUGUUAAAAUUAAUCGAGCACUAUCAGAGUUGGAUUGCUCAAUACUGGCACAAGAAUGGCCAAAGUGGAAACGAAGCUUUCUUAUGUACAUGUUGGCUUCUGGAAAAGAUGCGGAUCCAGAGCCUAAGAAGAUAGCCACAUUCUUGUGGUUGGCGGGAUCUAAAUCAACGGGAACAACAAACAAUAUGUUAGGAACUGCAGCAACGUCAGCAGACCCGUACUGAAAGCAUUCGACAGACAUAGUAUUCCAUUUCGAAGUACUACAAUGGAAACCUAUAAAUUCAAUAAUAUUAUACAGGCAGAUGGACAGCCUUUUAUUGAAUUCGAAACGCAACUACGCAAGCAAAUACAGUCAUGCGAUUUUGACUGUACCUGUGGAGAGAAGUACGAAGAAAGGAUGCUAAGGGAUCGUAUCAUUAUUGGCAUAAACGACAAAAGGCUACAACUAAAGCUUCUAGAGUCAAAAAAUAAGAAGCUAGAGGAUGUGCUAAACGAGUGUUGCUCACAAAUGCUAUAAUUGUGGAGCUAUAUUUAACCCAAAUCAUCUGGUCGAGUGUCGCGCCAAGGAGGCGACAUGUCAUGCUUGUGGAAAACUGGGACAUUUUGCGAGAUACUAAGCAGCAGAAAAAACGGAGAACAAACAAUCCUCUGGAUCUUCACUUAAUUGGUUAGAUUCAGCUUUAGAUUAAGUGAAUGCAGACGAAGUGGUUAACGGUGAACGAAAACCUUUCGAAUAAAUGGAGUAAACAUUAAAUUUAAGGUAGAUACUGGAGCAGACGUCAACUGCAUCCCAAUUAAUAUAGCAGAAAAUUUUAAAUUAGAAAUUAAAAAAGAAAAGUUCCUGGUUUUUGAUUAUAACAAUGUCGACGUUAAUAACUAUUGGCUAGGGAAAAUUGUAUUGAUCUAAAUUCAAAAAGUAGCAACAAUAUCGAAUUUUUAGUUGUCGACUCAAACUGUGAACCUUUAAUAGGUCUUAAGUCGUUGAUUGAAUUAAAUCUGAUUAAACAUUUAAAUAUA